rnacentral:snoRNA from 1 species
UCUCUGAUGAUCCCAGCAAAACAAGCAUAGUUCACACUGAACUUCUAUGUUGACAAACAUGCAUCUAAAUGUCUUUCGCUCCUAUCUGA